CAGGGUGACGUCACUUGGCACUCAAGGAUGGCCGUCUGUGUUGCUCCAGCAGCUCCUCCAGGUGGUCCGCCCGCUUCACCGCAGCCUGCAACACGUUUUGGACACGCAGGCGGGCGCCCUCAGCCUCACGAAGGCCUGAGGGGGUGCUGGUGCCCACUGUCACCCUCUCUGCAGUGGCCCUCUGCUGAACAGGGCCUGUUCCAGCCGGAAUCCCGCCCACCUCCUGAGCCUCUGGACGCUCCGGAAAUGGCUAGCCGUCCUGGGACAGAGUUGGGAGCCACGCGGGCGUCCGCCCACGGGCUACACCUGCCUUUCUCAGAAGAGGAGGGGGCUCGUGGCCGCCCCCCUGCAGUGCACCUGCAGGCACCCACCUCCGAUGCACCUCAUCCAGCUCCAUCUGCUGGCGCGCCCGCAGCUCCGCCAGCUCUGCUUUCACCUUCUGGGUCUCCUCCUGGGAGGCUGCCAGCUGGUCGGCAAACUCCUGUCUGACCACCUGGGCCAGGCUGGCCCGCUCCCCGCACAUCUGCGUGUUCACCUGGGCAGUAGGGUGUAGGCGGGUUUUAAUUUAGAACAGGGCUGCUCUGGCAAGAGGUCACAUCCAGAGCUUCAGGUAGAGAAAAGCUUAGGUCCAGGCAGGUGGGACACGCCUUUAAUCCCAAACAAGGAAGGGAAAGGUAUGUUUGAAAGUGAUGUCUGAGAGGCAGAAAAGGGGGAGGAAUCAGAGAAAGACUUGACAGAGUAAGAUACGCCCAACUCGGGAGAAGAGAGGAAAGGGAAGCUGCUUAAGGAGUGACGGGAGCAGGCGGUUUUACCAGCACAGUAAUAGACACAGGCUGCAGAAAGAACAGGCUAGACUCGGCUGAAGACAGAAGGUUAGAGCAGACUGCUGGAGUCAGAGGCCAAGCAGAGCAGGUAAGAGAGAAGCCAGACCGCAUAGCUCGGCGGGGAUAGGCGUAUGAACCAGAGCAGCUGAGCUGACCCAGCCAGCCCAGCGCUCAACAGGAGGGUGAGUCUCGGAGGCUGAAAACACUCAAGCCCUAGGCUAGCUUGUUAUGGAGACUUAGGGGCUUGCAGGACUAAGCCUAGGCUAGCAGAGGCGGCAGGAGCCUCUCGGCAGACGAAUGAAAGCCGCUGCGGCAGGGCGCAGACAGGGCCCGGGCCACUCACCACCCUCAGGUCUUCUAGUUCCUUCUCCUUCUGCCGAGCCAGGGCCAGCAGCCGCUCCUUCUCCCCUUCGGCCUCACCGAGGCGUCCUUUCAGCUCGGUGCACCGUUCCUGAAGCUUCCGCUCGGACUGCUCCAGCUCGGAGAGCUCCAUCUCGUACUUGUCCCGCACGCGCUUCACACUAGCAGGCGGAGGCGGCGGGGCGUGAGCAGCUGCCGCUCCCGCUGCCUCUGCCCCGGGGCCAGGCGCUGCCCGCAGAGGUGGGCAGCAGGAGCUCACCGGCUCUCGGCUGCCCUCUCACUCUCCUCCUUGGCCAGCGUCAUGUCCGCCUCCAGCCGCUGGAUGACCAGCUCAAUCUCCUGGUCCCGUCCUUUCCGGAUCUCCUCCUUCAGCUCACGCUCCCUGGCCAGCAGCCAGGCUUCCUGUAGGGAUGGACACAGCUGGCUCAUGAUCGGCCACCAGGAGGGCAGAGGGUGUAGACGCUGGGACAGUGGCAGAACCAGCCUUGCUGGGCUCUGGGGAACAGUUCCUGCUUAGAAGUCUCUUAGGGAGACGGAUCAGGGCGAAGGGCUCCAGCCCUGCCCAGGGCCCCAGAGCCCCAGAGGACUAUGUCUUGUUUUCAGGAUCUGAACACAGGGACAUGAGAUGGGCCCAGGGUAGUAUGGCUCCUUGGCCAAAGAGGCUGUUCCUCUCUCUCUGAGAACUGAAGCCCAAGAAAACGGUGAGCACCAUCUGCUAGACGCGCCAAGCCAAAAUGAGAAACCUGCCCUGGGGCCAAGGGGGCCUGGGUGCCAGCUGACUGACAGGCACAGACCACGUGACCCCUGGAGAGCAAGGGCAAGCCCUCUCGGGUCUCCAGAUGUGCCUGGUGCCAUUUCUUGCUCAAUGCUAACCUGGAUCCACAUGUGGACAGUGAGCAGCAAGGACUGAACCACCAAGGAAGACCCUUGAGCAGCUAGAGUACAAGCCCCCAGGAGGCCCCGAACUGCGGCCCACCCUGUCUGGGCCUACCUCCUUCUUGGCACAGCUGGCCACCCACGCCUGUCUCUCGGCCUCCAGCUCGUCCUUCAGGGCUUUCAGCUCCAUCUGGAAGGGGACAGACUGUGAGCAGUUUGCGGUCCACGCCAAGGCCCUGCCCACCCCACCCAGGACCUCACACCACUGGGGUCAGGCGGAAGACACCCCCUCCCUCCACUGGAGGCCAGACGCAGCCAGCGCGCCAACCUGGUGCCUCCGCUCCUGCUCCUCUCGGCUCCUCUCGAACUCGGCUCUCAGGGCUCUGGUGAGCGUCGCGCUGCUCUCCUCCAGCUGCUGCCUCAGCUCCUCCAGCUCCAGCCGCUGCCUGCGGGCCAGUAAGAGUCAGGGGACGGAGGGUCAUUGUGAGAGGGGCUGGGAGGCCAGGGGUCACUGUGAGACCAGCCUCAGUGGCACCUGGCUGCCUGCUGGCCCAGUCGCUCCUUCUCUUCAGCCACCUCACUGUAGAGCCGCCGCCGCUGCUGCUCCAAGGCCCGCUGCUCCUGCUCCAGGUGCUGCUCAAACCUGCAGGACAGUGAGGACGCUCGUGCCACGGCCGGUGGCCACGGUGCCUCACGGGGCCCUCUGUCGUCCACGGACUCUCACAAGGCUGAGAAAAGGCCUCCACUCAGCCGAGUGUGUGCUCACUGUGUCUCCACACUGGCCUGACUCUGCUUAGCCGCCACUCCUGGGUGAGAGCCAGGAGCCUGGCUCUAUGAUCUGAGCAACCUCCUGCCGUGACAUGUGGGAGAGCACGGGUCAGCCAGGUGGAGAGGGCCAGUGGGCUACGGGAGAGGAGGGGACCUUGAGGACCUAGUCAGGGCACCAACAGUGAAGCAGCGGCUGUCCACUGGUCACUGGGGCCUCACUCAGCCAGGUGCCAGGCUCUGACGUUACAGCCUAGUCAUACCUUAGAGCGUGAACCCUACGGCUGAGGGAAUGAACGGGGAUGACCUCUGCCGCAGAGCAGCCCACACAGCAGCAAGGCUGGCUGGCUGGGUGCUGUAUUGGCCCACUGGCCUGCGGUGCCCACAGCCUCCAGCGGCCACCCACCUCUGCUGGGCACGCUCCCGCUCUUGCUGGCCCAGUGCUUCCUUCUCCCGCUCCAGGUGCUCCCGCAACUCUUCCGCCUGGCGCAGGUGGCGCUGUGCGGCCUGCUCCUCACGCUGCUGCAGCUCAGCCUCGUGCAGGCCCCUGAGCCUCCUCACCUCUUGCUUGUGCUUGGCGAUCAGUUUUUGGAUCUCGGGCUCUAGACCUGUGGGAACAGGGGUGGCACCAGAGAUGGGCUUCCAGGCCCCUCCUGCCCAGCCACUGCCCGGAAGCACAGCAGGCCUGAGAUACUGAGGCGACCAGAGGCAGGGACCAGAGACCUAGCUCCAGAAGUGCCUGUGGCUUUCCCAGCCUCUCGGUCCCCAGAUGUCAUGGUGCCCAGGUUCCUGGAGGAAGAGGACUCCCGUAAGGCCAGGCCGAGGUGCCCCCUAAAACCACCUAACAGUCCACAGCUCCUUCACAUCUGCCAGCCUAAGGGGCCCUGGAGCUUCUCUUCUGCAGUUUUCUGGUUUCUGCAGUGUGACCUACAGGCCUUGACCUCCCUACGCUGGCCUCUAAGGGAAGUGGUGCUCUCAGGCUUCUGUGAACUGGGAGUCAACAGCUGAAAUGGGGUUUGCCUCUGCCCGCCACGGGCAGCCAUCCCCGAGGCCUCGCGCAGGAACGUGUAUGGUCAUCGCCAUCACACGCGAGACUGAAGUUCCAUUCUCUCUCAACGUGUCCCCAACUAUGUACGGCCAGGGCACGAAGGCCCACCUCUGACUGUGAUUUCCUUGAUCUUUUUCGUCUUCUCAUUGAUCCACUUCUCGCGGCGGAUUUUCUCGGUGGCACUCAUGAGUUCUUUGAGUUUCUUAAUCUCCUGGGUAAAAAGCACAGGAAGCCAGAAUGCAGAGGUGACGGGGGUAGGGGGCAAGCCCCGUCUUCCUCCCGGCCCACACUGCAGAGCUCUUUCCUCUCUUCCCAGGGACAGGGACCACCCUACCACACACAUUUCAGCCUGAGGCACCGUGUGGGGUAGUCACAGCCCAGCUUGUAGAGGCCCCCAGCCCACUGGUACUGCGGCCAUACAGGAAGACAGAGGAUUAAGGGGACACAGGAGAGAGGGGAGGCCCUCCAUCCAGGAGCUGAUGUGCCCUUCACACCGACAGCCACCACUGACAGCCCAACUGACUACCAUGCUAAUGCCUGUUCCCCUAAAGACACCGCCGAGGACCAGGAAGCCAAGGAUCCCACUUUUGCCUGACCAGGAGGGGAGGUCCUCCGGCCACUGCGGACUUCCUGGAGCCAUGACUCCAUUCCGGCUGAGGCUGACAGGACCAUGCAAGAACUCCAGUCUCCAACCCUGGCUCUGGGCUGUGGACACUGGGGUCUCUUUAGACACAGUCAGCCCACCCUCAUUUGGGGCUGGGCUCCAGUAUAGGGUGGCUUCAGGGAUACCAGGCUCGCUUCAGAGAGAAGCACAAACAGGUCGCCGAGUCAGACUCUGACCCAGCGGCUGCUGGCCGAUCUGGCAGGGGCUGGAGGAGCCUGGUGCAGCUAAGCUGAGCAGGUUCUGUUACUCAGGAUGUCACUGGAGUAGGCCAGGCUUGGACUCCUGGGUCCAUGCCACUGUCCUGUGACAAGGGCCAGGUGGGCCUCCAUGAUUACCUGAGACAUGGCAGCCCACACUUCAGGACCUGUCCCUGUCCAACAUUUGGAUACAGUUCAAGAUGAGGGAAAGGGAGCCAGUGGUGGUGGCACAUACCUACAAUCCCAGCACUUGGGAGGCAGAGGCAGGAGGAUCUCUGUGAGUUCACGGCCGGCCUGGUCUACAGACUGAGUUUCAGGAUAGCUCAGGCUACACAGAAACAAAAAAUUCGAGAAGACAAAGGGACUGAAGGAAAAAGGAAAAGGUGCGAUCUUCCCACUGUUUCCCUAGCCCGGCACCAUCCUCAGGCCACACUGCCAUGUGCCCCUGGGCACUUGUUCAGCCAGGAGCUCACCAG